rnacentral:rRNA from 1 species
GACGAACGCUGGCGGCGUGCUUAACACAUGCAAGUCGAACGGAAAGGCCCCUUUGGGGGUCCUCGAGUGGCGAACGGGUGAGUAACACGUGAGUAACCUGCCCUUGACUUCGGGAUAACUUCAGGAAACUGGGGCUAAUACCGGAUAGGAAUCCUUGCUGCAUGGUGGGGGUUGGAAAGCUUCGGCGGUUUUGGAUGGACUCGCGGCUUAUCAGCUUGUUGGUGGGGUAGUGGCUUACCAAGGCUUUGACGGGUAGCCGGCCUGAGAGGGCGACCGGCCACAUUGGGACUGAGAUACGGCCCAGACUCCGACGGGAGGCAGCAGUGGGGAAUAUUGCACAAUGGGCGGAAGCCUGAUGCAGCAACGCCGCGUGCGGGAUGACGGCCUUCGGGUUGAAAACCGCUUUCAGCAGGGGCGAAGCUUGUGGUGACGGUACCUGCAGAAGAAGCACCGGCUAACUACGUG